GAUAAACAGUAUUUUAAAAUACUAUUAAUUGCCGGUUGUUGAGAUCUAGCUAGACAAUCAUUUGAAUCGAUGGAUAUGAUUGGACAAAAUUAAUUAGCAUUGUCGAUACAAUGUAACCUAUUGUGAUUGGGUACAUAUGAAUUGCUAUCGAAAACAGGGCGUAAAUGCAUUUACGAAUCGCCCGUUAAACUGUUAUUAUCCAAUAAUGUGGUUCCCGCGUUCCUUUAUUAUAGAUUGUCGACUGUUAAUGCAUUUAUGAUCGAUAAUGAUAGAUUGUCGACGAUAAUUUCGUAAAUGCAUUUACAACCGUAAAGUAUACUUUACGCCGUACAUCUAUAAUGGUCGACCGAUAAUCUAUCAUUAUCCACGAUAAAUUGUGAUUAUCUCAUUUAUGUGGUUCCCGCGUGCCAUAUAUAUGCAUUGCUACUAAAAACAACGAUACGAAACGAAACAAACGGAAACAAUAUAAAACAAAGGAUUAAUAUAAUGGAUACUAAUUGACGAUCUUCAACAAUAAAAAUGUCCAUCAAUGUGUCCGUCCCCAGUCUUAAAAAAAACUUGUGAAUCGAUUUAGCAUACAGUUUAAUAUCCUUUGUGAUGUACCAAAUUAAUGAAUACCGAAUUUUGCAAAGGAAACACAUAAUCAAAACCGUUAACAGACACAUGAACAUCCGAAGAAUUAAAUGAGUUAGUUUUUUUUGUAAGCAC
rnacentral:lncRNA from 1 species